rnacentral:sRNA from 1 species
GCCUGGGGGCGCCCACCUGUAAUCCCAGUGCCGCGGGAGGCUGAGGCAGGAGGAUCACAAGUUGGAGGCCAGCCUCAACAACUUAUUGAGGCCUUAAGCAACUCGGAGAGACCCUGUCUCUA